rnacentral:rRNA from 1 species
AGUCGAACGGAAAGGCCCCUUCGGGGGUACUCGAGUGGCGAACGGGUGAGUAACACGUGGGUAAUCUGCCCUGCACUUCGGGAUAAGCCUGGGAAACUGGGUCUAAUACCGGAUAUGACCACGAGGCGCAUGCCUUGUGGUGGAAAGCUUUUGCGGUGUGGGAUGGGCCCGCGGCCUAUCAGCUUGUUGGUGGGGUGAUGGCCUACCAAGGCGACGACGGGUAGCCGGCCUGAGAGGGUGUCCGGCCACACUGGGACUGAGAUACGGCCCAGACUCCUACGGGAGGCAGCAGUGGGGAAUAUUGCACAAUGGGCGCAAGCCUGAUGCAGCGACGCCGCGUGGGGGAUGACGGCCUUCGGGUUGUAAACCUCUUUCAGCAGGGACGAAGCGCAAGUGACGGUACCUGCAGAAGAAGCACCGGCCAACUACGUGCCAGCAG